rnacentral:rRNA from 1 species
AUUGAACGCUGGCGGAAUGCUUUACACAUGCAAGUCGAACGGCAGCACGGGGGCAACCCUGGUGGCGAGUGGCGAACGGGUGAGUAAUACAUCGGAACGUGCCCAAUCGUGGGGGAUAACGUAGCGAAAGCUACGCUAAUACCGCAUACGAUCUACGGAUGAAAGCGGGGGAUCGCAAGACCUCGCGCGAAUGGAGCGGC